rnacentral:rRNA from 1 species
GACGUAGGGCGCGAGCGUUGUCCGGAUUUAUUGGGCGUAAAGAGCUCGUAGGCGGCUUGUCGCGUCAACUGUGAAAACCCGUGGCUCAACCAUGUGGUCUGCAGUCGAUACGGGCAGGCUAGAAUUCGGUAGGGGAGACUGGAAUUCCUGGUGUAGCGGUGAAAUGCGCAGAUAUCAGGAGGAACACCGGUGGCGAAGGCGGGUCUCUGGGCCGAUACUGACGUUGAGGAGCGAAAGCGUGGGGAGCGAACAGG